CUUGGUCCGUCCCUCCGCCGCGCACGUGUCCGCCACACUUCCAAAGGGUUACCCCCCCCCCUCCUCACCGCCGCCGCUUGGCUCUCGGCUCCAUCCCUUUCUCAUCGGAGCCCUCUCGGCGGCGGUAGAGAUGACGGAGCGGCUGACCCGUAUCGCGAUCGUCAGCGAGGAUAAGUGCAAGCCCAAGAAGUGCCGCCAGGAGUGCAAGAAGAGCUGCCCCGUCGUCAAGACCGGGAAGCUUUGCAUUGAAGUAACACCAGCGUCGAAGCUCGCUUUCAUUUCUGAGGAGCUGUGCAUUGGUUGUGGUAUUUGUGUAAAGAAAUGCCCAUUUGAUGCCAUUGAAAUCAUCAACCUUCCAAAAGAUUUGGAAAAGGAUACUACUCACCGUUAUGGGCCAAAUACCUUCAAGUUGCACAGGUUGCCUGUCCCGAGACCUGGUCAAGUUUUGGGCCUUGUUGGAACAAAUGGAAUUGGAAAGUCGACAGCACUCAAAGUGUUGGCUGGCAAGCUGAAACCUAAUUUGGGACGCUUCAAAAACCCACCUGAUUGGCAGGAAAUCCUUACAUACUUCCGUGGGUCUGAACUUCAGAACUAUUUCACACGCAUAUUAGAAGAUAACCUGAAGGCAAUCAUCAAGCCUCAGUAUGUUGAUCACAUUCCAAAAGCUGUUCAAGGAAAUGUAGGGCAAGUACUUGAACAGAAGGAUGAGAGGGAUAUGAAAGCUGAGCUGUGUGUUGACCUUGAAUUAAACCAAGUUAUUGACCGAAAUGUAGGAGACCUGUCUGGUGGUGAGCUCCAAAGAUUUGCAAUAGCAGUUGUUGCUGUACAAAAUGCUGAAAUUUACAUGUUUGAUGAGCCAUCAAGUUACCUUGAUGUUAAGCAGAGGCUUAAAGCUGCACAAGUCAUUAGGUCCUUGCUUAGGCCCAACAGCUAUGUCAUCGUUGUGGAACAUGAUUUGAGUGUCUUAGAUUACUUGUCCGACUUCAUUUGCUGCUUAUAUGGGAAGCCAGGUGCUUAUGGUGUGGUUACCUUGCCAUUCUCGGUUCGAGAAGGUAUCAAUAUUUUUUUGGCUGGAUUUGUUCCAACAGAAAAUCUUCGGUUCCGAGAUGAAUCUCUAACAUUUAAGAUUGCAGAGACUCAAGAAAGUCCUGAGGAGAUUGAGACAUAUCAACGGUAUAAGUACCCUACCAUGAGCAAAACACAGGGAAAUUUCAAGCUUACUGUUCUUGAGGGUGAAUUCACUGAUUCCCAAAUUGUUGUGAUGCUUGGUGAAAACGGGACAGGGAAAACUACAUUCAUCAGAAUGCUGGCUGGGUUAUUGAAGCCCGACACUGUGGAAGGAACUGAUAUUGAAAUUCCUGAAUUCAAUGUGUCGUACAAGCCCCAAAAGAUUAGCCCAAAAUUCCAGAAUACCGUGAGGCACUUGCUUCAUCAGAAAAUACGGGAUUCAUAUAUGCACCCUCAGUUUGUGUCUGAUGUCAUGAAACCACUACAAAUUGAGCAACUCAUGGACCAGGAGGUUAUUAAUUUAUCAGGUGGAGAGCUCCAAAGAGUUGCAAUAUGCCUCUGCCUUGGAAAGCCUGCAGAUAUCUAUUUGAUUGAUGAGCCAAGUGCUUAUCUUGAUUCGGAGCAGCGUAUUGUUGCCUCAAAGGUUAUCAAAAGAUUCAUUCUUCACGCAAAGAAAACUGCAUUUAUUGUUGAGCAUGAUUUUAUCAUGGCAACCUACUUAGCUGACAAGGUCAUUGUUUACGAGGGGCGACCUUCUAUUGACUGUACUGCCAAUGCACCACAGUCUUUGGUAUCUGGGAUGAAUAAGUUCUUAUCGCUUCUUGAAGAGAUCCAACCAACUAUAGGCCGUGAAUAAACAGACAGAACUCUUCAAGAUACUACCACCUUGAUAACUAACGUUAAUUUUCAGUGGGAUCCAGGAAUUCUAGAUUUGCACAUAAAACCUCCACUGCUAUAUAGAUAUUCCCUUGCGUUGGUUUCAUCAUUACUGGCAUAAUCUUUAUGUCCGCGCACUAAUUUUCUUUCUUUUGCUUUUCUUUUGGUAGCAUCUUGACAUUACUUUUAGAAGAGACCCGACCAACUAUAGGCCACGGAUAAACAAGUUGGACUCUACGAAAGACAGGGAACAGAAGUCUGCCGGAUCCUACUACUACCUCGAUGACUAAUGAGGGAGUACAGCAUCUUCUCGGAGAUGCUUGCCGCCCCUAAUCUUUCCAGGCCGUGGAAAUGCAAGGCUAGAAUGAAAUUUGCCACUACAUGGCAUGGAGACAUAUUGAAAUAGGCUGGAGUGAAGAGCAUCGGUUAUAAGCAGAGCAUGUGAUGUUGAUGUCGAGUUUUUGUUGGCUUUAUCUAUAUGGAGAAAAGAUCGGUGUUAAAAAUGGGCUUUAUCAGUGGAGAACUACGGCUAGUUCCUGUUUAUUUGCAAUACUGUAUCAUCGAUUUGCCAUAGAGUAACUUUAAUCCUCGAUUUACAGGUCACACUAGGUUUUUGAGUAACAACGUGAAAUCUUUUGAUCAUCCUUUUACUUGUUGAUCGCCUGUUUUGUACUUCAUUCCUUGGAAAUUAGUGUUUGGCUUGUCGAAGUAAACUGAUUGCCGAUGAGUUGAUAAUUUUGUCACACCUUUUAAGCGACAUUUCCACGACCAAAAACAAUAAAGUUGGUCACAAGA